rnacentral:rRNA from 1 species
GACGAACGCUGGCGGCGUGCUUAACACAUGCAAGUCGAGCGGUAAGGCCCUUCGGGUACGACGAGCGGCGAACGGGUGAGUAACACGUGGGUGACCUGCCUCUAGCUCUGGGAUAAGCCUGGGAAACUGGGUCUAAUACCGGAUAUGACUCCACGGCGCAUGUUGUGGGGUGGAAAGCCUUGUGUGGCUAGAGAUGGGCCCGCGGCCUAUCAGCUUGUUGGUGGGGUGAGGCCUACCAAGGCGACGACGGGUAGCCGGCCUGAGAGGGCGACCGGCCACACUGGGACUGAGACACGGGCCCAGACUCCUACGGGAGGCAGCAGUGGGGAAUCUUGCGC